ACCUGGACGUGCUCAGUUGGUGGAGCAUGAGACUCUUAAUCUCAGGGUCAUGGGUUUGAGCCCCAUACUGGGCA